CGGAAAUAUAGAAGGAGAGCAAGACAGCACUCUCCUUGGUUAAGAUGGAAAAAGUCCUAAUGGAUUUUUAACCAUGUUGAAGUCUUACACUUACUUUGUGGCAUCUAAUGUGUAU
rnacentral:ncRNA from 1 species